rnacentral:tRNA from 1 species
GGGUUACUAGCUCAGUUGGCUAGAGCACUAGACUUUUAAUCUAGGUGUCCCGGGUUCGAGCCCCGGGUGACUCA